rnacentral:rRNA from 1 species
CCUACGGGAGGCAGCAGUGGGGAAUAUUGCACAAUGGGGGAAACCCUGAUGCAGCGACGCCGCGUGAGUGAAGAAGUAUUUCGGUAUGUAAAGCUCUAUCAGCAGGGAAGAAAAUGACGGUACCUGACUAAGAAGCCCCGGCUAACUACGUGCCAGCAGCCGCGGUAAUACGUAGGGGGCAAGCGUUAUCCGGAUUUACUGGGUGUAAAGGGAGCGUAGACGGCAGAACAAGUCUGGAGUGAAAUGCCGGGGCUUAACCCCGGAACUGCUUUGGAAACUGCGCAGCUAGAGUGCUGGAGAGGUAAGUGGAAUUCCUAGUGUAGCGGUGAAAUGCGUAGAUAUUAGGAGGAACACCAGUGGCGAAGGCGGCUUACUGGACUGUAACUGACGUUGAGGCUCGAAAGCGUGGGGAGCAAACAGGAUUAGAUACCCGUGUAGUC